GACGAACGCUGGCGGCGUGCUUAACACAUGCAAGUCGAACGGUGAAGGGGCCUGCUUUUGUGGGUCCUGGAUGAGUGGCGAACGGGUGAGUAACACGUGAGUAACCUGCCCCCUUCUUCUGGAUAACCGCAUGAAAGUGUGGCUAAUACGGGAUAUUCUGUGCCUGCUGCAUGGUGGGUGUGGGAAAGAUUGCGCCCUUUUUGGGUGUUUUUGGUGGGGGAUGGGCUCGCGGCCUAUCAGCUUGUUGGUGGGGUGAUGGCCUACCAAGGCGGUGACGGGUAGCCGGCCUGAGAGGGUGGACGGUCACACUGGGACUGAGACACGGCCCAGACUCCUACGGGAGGCAGCAGUGGGGAAUAUUGCACAAUGGGCGCAAGCCUGAUGCAGCGACGCCGCGUGAGGGAUGGAGGCCUUCGGGUUGUGAACCUCUUUCGCCAGUGAAGCAGGCCUGCUCCUUGGUGGGUGGGUAGACG
rnacentral:rRNA from 1 species